GACGAACCGUGCAAACGUUAUUCGGAAUCACUGGGCAUAAAGGGCGCGUAGGCGGCUCGAAAAGUCAGGGGUGAAAUCCGGCAGCUUAACUGUCGCAGUGCCUUUGAUACUGUCGAGCUCGAGGGAGGUAGGGGUCUGUGGAACUUCCGGUGGAGCGGUGAAAUGCGUUGAUAUCGGGAGGAACGCCGGUGGCGAAAGCGACGGACUGGAUCUCUUCUGACGCUGAGGCGCGAAAGCCAGGGGAGCAAACGGG
rnacentral:rRNA from 1 species